GUGCCAGCCGCCGCGGUAAUACGUAUGGAGCGAGCGUUGUCCGGAAUUAUUGGGCGUAAAGGGUGCGCAGGCGGCUUUACAAGUUGGAUGUGAAAUAUUGUGGCUCAACCACAAACGUGCAUCCAAAACUGCAAAGCUUGAGUUAAGGAGAGGUAAGUGGAAUUCCUGGUGUAGCGGUGGAAUGCGUAGAUAUCAGGAGGAAUACCGGUGGCGAAGGCGACUUACUGGACUUAAACUGACGCUCAGGCACGAAAGCGUGGGGAGCAAACAGGAUUAGAAACCCGCGUAGUCC
rnacentral:rRNA from 1 species